GGGUCUGUAGCUCAGCUGGUUAGAGCGCGUCACUGAUAAUGACGAGGUCUCAGGUUCAAGUCCUGACAGACCCA
rnacentral:tRNA from 1 species